AGCAGUGUGGUGUAGUGGUUUGAGCAUUGGGUUGUGAUUCUGAAGAUCAUGGUUCCAAUCCUUGCUCAGCCA